UACGUAGGGGGCAAGCGUUGUCCGGAUUUAUUGGGCGUAAAGAGCGUGUAGGCGGCUUUACAGGUCCGUUGUGAAAACUCGAGGCUCAACCUCGAGACGCCGGUGGAAACCGUAAGGCUAGAGUCCGGAAGAGGAGAGUGGAAUUCCUGGUGUAGCGGUGAAAUGCGCAGAUAUCAGGAGGAACACCCGUGGCGAAAGCGGCUCUCUGGGACGGUACUGACGCUAAGGAGCGAAAGCGUGGGGAGCGAACAGG
rnacentral:rRNA from 1 species